rnacentral:misc_RNA from 1 species
GAUGAAGAACGUAGCGAAAUGCGAUAAGUAAUGUGAAUUGCAGAAUUCAGUGAAUCAUCGAAUCUUUGAACGCACCUUGCGCCUUUUGGUAUUCCGAAAGGCACACCUGUUUGAGCGUCAUGAAUACCUCAAUCUCCAUCUUUUCUUCGGAUUGAUGGGUGACUUGGAUGUUGAGCCCUGCUGGUAUGCUAUAUCAGCUGGCUUUAAACUUAUUAGCCGGCUCUGUACUGGAUCGGUUUGACUCGACGUGAUAAUAUUAUCGUUGAGGAUGCAUGUCUCAUGCAGCCGGAAAGUAUCAAAGCAGCUUCAAGCUUGCCUUUAGUGCACUUUUACAUUUUAGACCUCAGAUCAGGUGGGACUACCCGCUGAACUUAAGCAUAUCAAUAAGCGGAGGA